AGGGCAUAGCUCAGGGGUAGAGCACGUGCUUAGUGUGCAAGAGGUCCUGGGCUCCAUCCCCAGUAGCUCUA
rnacentral:tRNA from 1 species